rnacentral:rRNA from 1 species
CGGUGGAUGAUGUGGAUUAAUUCGAUGCAACGCGAAAAACCUUACCUACCCUUGACAUGUACGGAAUCCUGCUGAGAGGUGGGAGUGCUCGAAAGANAACCGUAACACAGGUGCUGCAUGGCUGUCGUCAGCUCGUGUCGUGAGAUGUUGGGUUAAGUCCCGCAACGAGCGCAACCCUUGUCCUUAGUUGCUACGCAAGAGCACUCUAGGGAGACUGCCGGUGACAAACCGGAGGAAGGUGGGGAUGACGUCAAGUC